AGAAUAUGAAGUUGAGAUUAUUCAGCCUUAUGGACUUAAAUUUACUAAAGGUAGAGAUGGAGGAACUUACAUUGAUGCUAUUGCUCCUGGUGGUUUUGCUGAUAAGACUGGAAAAUUUGCUGUUGGAGAUAAAGUCAUUGCCACCAGUGCAGUGUUUGGAGAGGAAAUAUGGCCUGCUGCUGAAUAUGGAAGAACAAUGUAUACUAUCAGACAGAGAAUUGGACCUUUGCUCAUGAAGAUGCAAAAGAGAUAUGGUAAGGUGGAAGAAGUAGGUGAAUUGACAGAAAAGGAAAUUAUCAGAGCUGAGAGGAAUGCUGGUUUCAUUAGUGACAGAGUUAGAGAAAUUCAAGUAACGAAUGCUCGGAGGAAGAAAGAACAAAAGGAGCAAAGAGAAAGAGAACUUCGCGAAGGACUAAAACUUUCUAAGAAUGGCAAAUACGAAGAAGCACUCGAAAAGUUUGAAUCUGUGUUAGGAUCAAGACCAACUGGAGAUGAACUUGCUGUAGCAAGUUACAAUGUUGCAUGUUGUUAUUCCAAGCUUAAUCA
rnacentral:misc_RNA from 1 species